GGGAUGGGGCCGAUCCAAUACCGAUACUGUGGGUGAGGUAAAUAAGACCCGUACCCUCUGUGGGUGAGGUAAAUAAAGACCCGUACCCUCUGUGGGUGAGGUAAAUAAAGACCCGUACCCUCUGUGGGUGAGGUAAAUAAAGACCCGUACCCUCUGUGGGUGAGGUAAAUAAGACCCGUACCCUCUGUGGGUGAGGUAAAUAAAGACCCGUACCCUCUGUGGGUGAGGUAAAUAAGACCCGUACCCUCUGUGGGUGAGGUAAAUAAAGACCCGUACCCUCUGUGGGUGAGGUAAAUAAAGACCCGUACCCUC